rnacentral:piRNA from 1 species
UUCCAAAGACUCCAAGCAAACCAGUGUGA